AGCCUGCAGGCCGCGCGAGACGUGGCAGCGCCGGGUAGGCGGGAGAGGGUGCGGUCGUAGGAUCGUGCUGCAGUAGGGGCGCCGGGUACCGCGGCUGCCUGCGCCCCCGGGCGCCCUCGGAGAGACAGAAGGAGCCGUGGACGGAUGGAGGUGGUGCUUUCAGAAGGUGAUUGGACCAUGGGGCUCUAACUUCAUCAAGCAGAUUACUCCAUUGAUGGAUCAUAAUUUAGUGACUUUAUUGGGACAUGGAAACAGGAGCCCGGAUUGAACUUGGGACCUUCCACUUUCGAGGCAGGAGGCGGCACCACUGAGCUAAAUCCCCAGCUCCUCUCUGGCUGUUUUUUCCCCUUUCUGCUCCUGGCUGCCUUGUAUGUGAUGCGCAGCUCCAUAUUCUCCCUCAUCUCCUACCCACAGCAAUGGAACCAGCAACCAUGGACUGAAACCUCUGAAACUGUGAGCCAGAAUAAACCUUCCUCCUGUG